UACGAAGGGGGCGAGCGUUGUUCGGAUUUACUGGGCGUAAAGGGCGCGCAGGCGGCUUUGUUUGUCAGGCGUGAAAGCCCCGGGCUUAACCUGGGAACUGCGUUUGAUACGGCAGGGCUAGAGUUCGGGAGAGGAGAGUGGAAUUCCCAGUGUAGAGGUGAAAUUCGUAGAUAUUCGGAAGAACACCAGUGGCGAAGGCGACUUACUGGACACAUAUUGACGCUGAGGUGCGAAAGCGUGGGAGCAACAGG
rnacentral:rRNA from 1 species